AGAAAAGGAAGUAGCGUAAAAUUGUGUGAUUCUGAUUCGUGAAUAUGCAUAAAGUAUAUUAGUGAGUAAUUGGGAUUUGUGAUAUUUUAGCGUAACGAACCAAAAAUGGGAUUAAGGAGAGGGAACCAAUGUUAGGGUUAUGAUGUUGCUUAAACGCAUUUAGCUGCUUCCAUCUUCUGCUUUGCUUUGGGUUCCUUUCCUUCCUCGUAUACCGAGCACAUAUCCCACUCAACCCUACACGCGCUCGACUUUGGCCCAGUCUUUUGAGUAAUUUUCAAGCCAUCUAACAUUCUCUGUUAUUUUCACUUCCAAGAAUUAAUUAUUAUAUUAUGUCACUCCACCACUCAACACAUUUUCCUCUUCUUAGCUCUCCAUAUCUCAUUAUAAUUUUUCC
rnacentral:lncRNA from 1 species